GACGAACGCUGGCGGCGUGCUUAACACAUGCAAGUCGAACGGUGAUGCUCCAGCUUGCUGGAGUGGAUCAGUGGCGAACGGGUGAGUAACACGUGAGCAACCUGCCCCAGACUCUGGAAUAAGCGCUGGAAACGGCGUCUAAUACUGGAUACGAAACUGGCCCGCAUGGGCAUGGUUUGGAAAGUUUUUCGGUUUGGGAUGGGCUCGCGGCCUAUCAGCUUGUUGGUGAGGUAAUGGCUCACCAAGGCGACGACGGGUAGCCGGCCUGAGAGGGCGACCGGGCAAACUGGGGCUGAGACACGGCCCAGACUACUACGGGAGGCAGCAGUGGGGAAUAUUGCACAAUGGGCGAAAGCCUGAUGCAGCGACGCCGCGGGAGGGAUGACGGCCUUCGGGUUGUAAAACUCGUUCAGCAGGGAAGAAGCGAAAGUGACGGUACCUGCAGAAGAAGCACCGGCUAACUACGUG
rnacentral:rRNA from 1 species